rnacentral:rRNA from 1 species
UGGGGAAUCUUGCACAAUGGGGGAAACCCUGAUGCAGCGACGCCGCGUGAGCGAUGAAGGUUUUCGAAUCGUAAAGCUCUGUCCUAUGGGAAGAUAAUGACGGUACCAUGGGAGGAAGCCCCGGCUAACUACGUGCCAGCAGCCGCGGUAAUACGUAGGGGGCGAGCGUUGUCCGGAAUUACUGGGCGUAAAGGGUUCGCAGGCGGCAUGGCAAGUCCGAUGUAAAAGGCGAAGGCUCAACCUUCGUAAGCAUCGGAAACUGUCAAGCUUGAGUGAAGGAGAGGCAAGUGGAAUUCCUGGUGUAGCGGUGGAAUGCGUAGAUAGUAGGAGGAAUACCGGUGGCGAAGGCGACUUGCUGGACUUCAACUGACGCUGAGGAACGAAAGCGUGGGUAGCAAACAGG